rnacentral:rRNA from 1 species
AGAGUUUGAUCCUGGCUCAGGAUGAACGCUAGCGACAGGCUUAACACAUGCAAGUCGAGGGGCAGCGGGUAGAUGAGCUUGCUCAUUUAUGCCGGCGACCGGCGCACGGGUGAGUAACACGUAUGCAACCUGCCCGUCUCAGGGGGAUAAUCGUCGGAAACGGCGUCUAAUACCCCGUAUGAAGCUGGACGGCAUCGUCUGGUUUGGAAAGAAUAUCGGAGACGGAUGGGCAUGCGGCGCAUUAGCUAGUUGGCGGGGUAACGGCCCACCAAGGCGACGAUGCGUAGGGGUUCUGAGAGGAAGGUCCCCCACACUGGUACUGAGACACGGACCAGACUCCUACGGGAGGCAGCAGUGAGGAAUAUUGGUCAAUGGGCGAGAGCCUGAACCAGCCAAGUCGCGUGAGGGAGUACUGCCCUAUGGGUUGUAAACCUCUUUUGACGGGGAGCAAAAGCCGGACGUGUCCGGCUGUGAGAGUACCCGAAGAAAAAGCAUCGGCUAACUACGUGCCAGCAGCCGCGGUAAUACGUAGGUGGCGAGCGUUAUCCGGAAUGAUUGGGCGUAAAGGGUGCGCAGGCGGUCCUGCAAGUCUGGAGUGAAACGUAUGAGCUCAACUCAUGCAUGGCUCUGGAAACUGGAGGACUGGAGAGCAGGAGAGGGCGGUGGAACUCCAUGUGUAGCGGUAAAAUGCGUAGAUAUAUGGAAGAACACCAGUGGCGAAGGCGGCCGCCUGGCCUGUUGCUGACGCUGAGGCACGAAAGC